rnacentral:rRNA from 1 species
GAUGAACGCUAGCGAUAGGCCUAACACAUGCAAGUCGAGGGGCAUCACAUGAAGUAGCAAUACGGAUGGUGGCGACCGGCGCACGGGUGAGUAACACGUAUGCAACCUGCCUUCAACAAGGGGAUAACCCGUUGAAAGACGGACUAAUACCCUAUAACACAGGGGUCCCGCAUGGGAAUAUUUGUUAAAGGACAACCGGUUGAAGAUGGGCAUGCGUUCCAUUAGCUAGUUGGCGGGGUAACGGCCCACCAAGGCAACGAUGGGAUAGGGGAACUGAGAGGUUUAUCCCCCACACUGGUACUGAGACACGGACCAGACUCCUACGGGAGGCAGCAGUGAGGAAUAUUGGUCAAUGGACGCAAGUCUGAACCAGCCACGUCGCGUGAAGGAAGACGGCCCUACGGGUUGUAAACUUCUUUUAUACGGGAAUAAAGUGCCCCACGCGUGGGGUUUUGCAUGUACCGUAUGAAUAAGGAUCGGCUAACUCCGUGCCAGCAG